rnacentral:rRNA from 1 species
GCAGUCGAACGAGACGGAUUAUAGCUUGCUAUAAUUGUCAGCUAAGUGGCGCACGGGUGAGUAAUGUAUAGGUAAUAUGCCUCUUACUAAGGGAUAACAAAUGGAAACGUUUGCUAAUACCUUAUACUCCUUAUUAACAGAAGUUAAUAAGGGAAAGAUUUAUUGGUAAGAGAUUAGCCUGUAUUGUAUCAGUUAGUUGGUGGGGUAAUGGCUUACCAAGACUAUGACACAUAACUGGUUUGAGAGGAUGAUCAGUCACACUGGAACUGAGACACGGUCCAGACUCCUACGGGAGGCAGCAGUGGGGAAUAUUGCACAAUGGACGAAAGUCUGAUGCAGCAACGCCGCGUGGAGGAUGACACAUUUCGGUGCGUAAACUCCUUUUAUAUGAGAAGAUAAUGACGGUAUUAUAUGAAUAAGCACCGGCUAACUCCGUGCCAGCAGCCGCGGUAAUACGGGGGGUGCAAGCGUUUACUCGGAAUCACUUGGGCGUAAAGAGCAUGUAGGCGGAUUAAUAAGUUUGAAGUGAAAUCCUAUAGCUUAACUAUAGAACUGCUUUGAAAACUGUUAAUCUAGAAUGUGGGAGAGGUAGCUGGAAUAAGUAGUGUAGCGGUGAAAUGCAUAGAUAUUACUUAGAACACCAAUUGCGAAGGCAGGUUACCAAGAUAUAACUGACGCUGAGGCACGAAAGCGUGGGGAGCAAACAGGAUUAGAUACCCUGGUAGUCCAC